rnacentral:rRNA from 1 species
UGGUGCGAUCAUACCAGCACUAAUGCAUCGGUUCCCAACAGAACUCCGCAGUUAAGCGUGCUUGGGCGAGAGUAGUACUAGGAUGGGUGACCUCUUGGGAAGUCCUCGUGUUGCACCCC